ACAAAAAGUCUGAACGAAAACAGUUCACAAGCUGUUGUAGGAGUUUCUGUGCUAUUCGCAAAGUAGCCUGCGAGGAAGCUAUCUGUACACCUCUUCUCAACAGGGGUGGAGGGAAGGAGAACGAGAGAGAAAGUGUCACGGAUUGAUCCUCUAUCAAUCAUUUAGCGUUUUGGUAAUUUGACAAUAAGGUUGCAUUCAUAAUCAAAGACGAGAAACUUACUAAAAAUACUAACAAGCGCAAAGAAAAUAAUCAAGCAAGUAACACACAGGCGACUUUUCGAAUCCUUUCUCGUACACCAUUGAUCACGUGCACAAGUCAGAUUAACAUUAUGAGGUUACUAGCCAGAUGGGCUGAUCUUUCAUGGAAGGAGGGAAAAACCCCUAAGUUGAUUAUUUGUUAUUCAAAUUUUGGUUUCGCUUUCAGUCGUUUUCAAUAGACGGUAAGGUUAUUUGUGCAGAAGUUACGCCGAUUGAGAAACUCGAUCUUUUCUUUGCGUGCAGUGAUUUAUAUUAACUUUUCUCCUUAGACUACCGAGCUGAGAUGAAGAUCUGAGCUUUCAGAUUUGAAAACUCUGUGGAGCAUAAACAAAGCACUGCAGCGGAAGUACGCACUGCAGUUUCUAUUAGGGAUACAAAACUUUUGGUCGGCCAUUUGUGACUGAGUAAGUGCGUCAAACGUAUUUUUUUAUAAGCGACUAACCUUGAAGGUUUUGGAAAGAAGCACAUCGUGCCUUUAUAUGACUGUGGAAUGUAAUGUCUCCGAUAUGCACUGAUGUAUUUUCAAUUUUUGACUUGUGUUGUGACUCGUGCCUUGUUGAGUGCAUUUCAGUGGUGGUGGGGAGGGUCGGAACAUUUGCGUGUCGUGGCUUUUUUUGUUUAAGUUAAGCUCCUUUUCGCCAUAUUGUCCCUCUCGUAUAGAACUUAAAUUCACGUGUAUUACGGUCAUACUCUCGCAAGGUCACGAGGCUCCUUAAUGUGUUUAAAGUAAGAGGGGCCCCCUAACGUCUGACCUAUUGUUAUUACUGUGCAAAUCAGCGCUCUCGAAUUGUUUCCUUUGUCCGCGCUCGUGAGAAUUGUGAAUCUCUUUAAAGUUCUUACAGAAGAGUCGGCUAAGUCUGGCGGGCUGCUGACAGGGAAGUUAAAUGAUACGAAAUUGUUUGACAUUAAGCAAGUUCUAGACGGUGAUGUUAUUUAGAAGUGUUCGGCGGAAACAUCAGAAACCGAAAAAUUUAACCGAAUGAAUAAAAAUGCAGUGUAUAUAAUGUAUUUUCCUUUGUAUUUUAGUCAUGGCGGAAAGGCAAGUCAAAUCGCGUGAAGCAAAAGUGGAUUUGGAUGAAGAUGUUUUAGAAGUCAUAGCCCAAGGCCCAGCUCCAGACCCAGGCCCUUCUGAUGAGAAACCUGAUUUCGAUGAUGAUACUCUUAAAGGUGAGAAAAAUAACUGUCAGCUAGUUUAUUAUUAUUAUAAAACACCAUUAAUCCGCCAAAUCGAACCUGUUUGGUUAGCUUUGGUUGGA